rnacentral:misc_RNA from 1 species
AAGUCGUAACAAGGUAUCCGUAGGUGAACCUGCGGAUGGAUCAUUGAAAGAAGAAAAAGUGAUCCUCAAAAAAUCACUUUUUACAUCUUCGACUCUUUGUUGAAUUCGUUUUUUUCACUUUAACGGAGUGCAAACAACACACUUUUCUGUUCUGUGAUAAGAUGGGACCGGGGUUCGUUCUCCGUUCCCGUCUGCUCACAAAAGAAAAGACUCCGUUUUUGCACUCCACUUUUCAACCCAUCAUUACAUACAAACACUUUGUACCUGUUUUUGAUGUAUUUUGGAGACAAAAACAAGGGUUUACUUUGUUUUUUUCUCCUUUUCUUAUAAAACCAAAAAUUUUAUAAGCACAACUCUUAGCAACGGAUAUCUUGGCUCCUA